GACGAACGCUGGCGGCGUGCUUAACACAUGCAAGUCGAACGGAAAGACCCUGCUUUUGUGGGGUGCUCGAGUGGCGAACGGGUGAGUAACACGUGAGUAACCUGCCCUUGACUUUGGGAUAACUUCAGGAAACUGGGGCUAAUACCGGAUAGGAGCUCCUGCUGCAUGGUGGGGGUUGGAAAGUUUCGGCGGUUGGGGAUGGACUCGCGGCUUAUCAGCUUGUUGGUGGGGUAGUGACUUACCAAGGCUUUGACGGGUAGCCGGCCUGAGAGGGUGACCGGCCACAUUGGGACUGAGAUACGGCCCAGACUCCUACGGGAGGCAGCAGUGGGGAAUAUUGCACAAUGGGCGGAAGCCUGAUGCAGCAACGCCGCGUGCGGGAUGACGGCCUUCGGGUUGUAAACCGCUUUCGCCUGUGACGAAGCGUGGGUGACGGUAAUGGGUAAAGAAGCACCGGCUAACUACGUG
rnacentral:rRNA from 1 species